rnacentral:tRNA from 1 species
GCGGAUGUGGUGGAAUUGGCAGACACGUUAGUCUAAGGAGCUAAUGCAGCGAUGCAUAUGGGUUCAAGUCCCAUCGUCCGCACCA